AUCCAGCUGACGAGUCCAAAAUAGGACGAAACGUGCGUCCUGGUU
rnacentral:hammerhead_ribozyme from 1 species